rnacentral:piRNA from 1 species
AAAGACUGUCAUCCCCUACCGGGUA